CAGCUGGAGGUACUCGAUGCCCAAUAACUGUCUCCCUUCACCUUAAGGCAUAAAUUUUUAUAAGAGGCAAGAAGAAUGCAAUGAUGUUCAGCCCAAUUACCAGCAGAAACAGCUGCUGCUAUGGAGAAAUAUAUGAAUCCUGGAAGUUUGCUCGAGUACUGAAUUUUCUGACCGACGUUGAUUUAAGGAUGUGGUCUGAAGCUAAAGAAUCUCUCUGGGAGGGAAGGAGAUUCACAUUUCAAAUAGUUUUUAAUGUUGGCAGAUUGUUCUCCAUGGAUCGAGUUCAUGUCUUCACAUCUUGCAUGUAGUGGCACUGACAUUUUUCAGACUGUAUUUUCAAGGAUAUUUGUAUAGCAAACAGCUUUGGAAGAUUGAGAUGGUAUCCCCCACUGGAGAACAGGUCAUGUUUGUUUACUGUCCAGUAUAAUAAAGAAGAUGUCUUCCUUCAGCCAUUUAUGAAAGAUUCAUGAUUCCCCAAGCUUGGAGUUUCCCAGCUGUGAUGCAAACCUACUGCGUGCACAACACCUAUCUGGACUCUCCUCCACACCCUGGGACUGAGUGUCGAGGAGAUCUGACACAAAUAUAGAGUUCAGGUGGCUUGCAGCAUU
rnacentral:lncRNA from 1 species